rnacentral:rRNA from 1 species
AGUGAACGCUGGCGGUAGGCCUAACACAUGCAAGUCGAACGGCAGCACAGUAAGAGCUUGCUCUUACGGGUGGCGAGUGGCGGACGGGUGAGGAAUACAUCGGAAUCUACUUUUUCGUGGGGGAUAACGUAGGGAAACUUACGCUAAUACCGCAUACGACCUACGGGUGAAAGCAGGGGAUCUUCGGACCUUGCGCGAUUGAAUGAGCCGAUGUCGGAUUAGCUAGUUGGCGGGGUAAAGGCCCACCAAGGCGACGAUCCGUAGCUGGUCUGAGAGGAUGGUCGGCCACACUGGAACUGAGACACGGUCCAGACUCCUACGGGAGGCAGCAGUGGGAAAUAUUCGACAAUGGGCGCAAGCCUGAGGCAGCCAUACCGCGUGGGUGAAGAGGGCCUUCGGGUUGUAAAGCCCUUUUGUUGGGAAAGAAAAGCAGCAGGUUAAUACCCCGCUGUUCUGACGGUACCCAAAGAAUAAGCACCGGCUAACUUCGU